rnacentral:rRNA from 1 species
GAUGAACGCUGGCGGCGUGCCUAACACAUGCAAGUCGAACGAGGUCCAUGAGAGCUUGCUCUCGGACGACCUAGUGGCGAACGGGUGAGUAACACGUGAGAAACCUGCCUCGGAGUGGGGAAUAACUCGGGGAAACUCGAGCUAAUACCGCAUACCUUCAGAUGAUCGCAUGGUCGACUGAAGAAAGAAUUUCGCUCUGAGAGGGUCUCGCGGCCUAUCAGCUAGUUGGUGGGGUAACGGCCUACCAAGGCAACGACGGGUAGCUGGAUUGAGAGAUCGAUCAGCCACACUGGGACUGAGAGACGGCCCAGACUCCUACGGGAGGCAGCAGUGGGGAAUCUUGCGCAAUGGGCGAAAGCCUGACGCAGCAACGCCGCGUGCGGGAUGACGGCCUUCGUGGUUGUAAACCGCUUUCAGCAGGGACGAAAUUGACGGUACCUGCAGAAGAAGCCCCGGCUAACUACGUGCCAGCAGCCGCCGUAAAAC